UAGUUGUAGCACCUUGGUAUGGUUCCAU
rnacentral:piRNA from 1 species